CUAACAGGACAAAUCUCAGUUGCAGACAACAGGACUACAAAACUGAAGUUGCCAGAGUGCUUUUAGGAUCAUAUGAGCCACUUGGUGCUGUACACACAAAGCAGCUGAAAUAACCAGAAGCGGAGAAGUCGGUGAACAAGGGGUGAUGCCAUCUCUGAGACACAGAGUUAUAACAGAGCAAGCUGACGUUAUAAAGUGGCUGGAGAAACUGUGUACUUCCUUCAGCAGCAGAGGAGCAUAAAGUGAGCUGAAGAAACACAGCAAUAGAGCCAUCUGCCACAUCUGCUUCUGUUAUGAAGAAUCAAGUAUAGUAAGGAAGAUGAUCCGUGGUCAUGGUACAUGUUAAUAUCACCUUCUGACAAAGCAGGAUUUUCUUACGUUCAGUUACAUACACUGACCUGGUAUUGAGUGGAAGGAUCAAUGCCCUUUUACAACCUUUUGAACUUGUUCAAUAGCCUUUGCUUCUGUUUGGAGAACCUGUUUCUUGUUAAAAAGCUUGAGCAACCAAAUCCAUCCUCCUUGAGCAUUGCAGCUCACACUCCAUAGAAUCACAGAACUCUUGUGGGCUUUCCAAAGUCUGCCUUCUUAAGCUGAUGGUGGUCUCCCAUGAUUUCCUUGAAAAUCCACACAACUGUGAUGAGCCAGAUACCUUAGACUUACAAGGACAGCUUUCAUUAACAGCCUUGAGAUGUGAACGCUCAUUGCUGCUUUGAAAUCAAGGCCAAAAAAGCAUUUUAUUUUUACUUGGCAGUAUUAGAGAGCUCUCCACUAAGCCUGUCCAAAACUUUUGUAUUAUUUGAGAUGAAGUGAGAAGAGAAAGCUCCUUCUCCAGAAAUUUUGUACUGUGAGUCUUUUGUUCAGCUGAACCCAAAGGCAGAAUUUGGAUCAGAUGUUGUAUUGUAAAAUGUCCAUUAUUUCCUGUAGAUUUUCCUAUCACUGUUCAACCCAGCUGGGCAAAAUGGUAAUAUUCAUUACCAUUUAUUUUUCUUCUUUGAGCUAUGAAUACAACUGUCAUUUGUCUUCUGUCAGUCUUAUCUUCCUGUUUUUGGUGUUGUUUUUUUGUUUAUUUGUUUUUUUGCUUGUUUGUUUGUUUUCCUAAAAUAUUUGGUGAUCUGAUCAAAAGGAUACUGAGGAACUGUUGUGUGUUACUACCCUGGGUAAACUGGCAUCCACUCCUGCAGGUUUGAGCUCCUUCUGAGGGAUCAGCUAUUUCAUUUGGCUGCUGUGUGCUGAUUGCUGGAAAAUAGCUGGGAUGGUCUGAAUGACAGUCUUCAUUUCUGGUUCGAUACUGUGCAUCCUCCUCUUGCACGAAGGGCAGAUGUAAUAAUUUUAAGUGGCAUCAUUGAAGCUGGGCAGACAAAUGACAGCUGACAAAAUUGAGUGGAAGUGUCUCAGAAGGCCUCCAAGCACCAGGAGGGCAACGCAGCCUUCACUGCCCAUGAGAGCUGACAAGUGCUGAUGACUUGGAGGCUGUGACCAUACGAUCCUGACAUUAAUCUGGGGCUGGGAGUGAGAGCUGUUCCUGCUUCCUCUUGUCCUCCAUUAUCCAAUGGGUGUCACUGCAGACCUGGACUGCUGCGGGUGCCUUCUUCUGGACUGGACUCAAAGUAAGCACAAACCAAAGUAUAGAAAUAAUCAAAACAAGUUGCUAUUGAAUAGGAUUUGCAAGUGAAGAUUCUUGCAAGCAGAAGGCUGAGGCUGAAAAGUGAAAGCUCCAAAGGCUUUUUGACUUUUUAGGAGAAAAACUGCCUCUACUUUUCUCCUGAUACACACUGGUACGCUCUCUGCUCCUCCACACCUGCAGAAAUGGAUGGAUGCUCCAAGUCUGCUCCUUUUCUGUUGGAAGAGCUGUGCUAGACAGCUCAGCAGUCUGCAGGUGCCAGCCAGAGUGUAUCUUGCCAAGAAAAGGAGACUACUUCGUGCCUCUGAAGGAAG